UGGGGAAUAUUGCACAAUGGGCGCAAGCCUGAUGCAGCCAUGCCGCGUGUGUGAAGAAGGCCUUCGGGUUGUAAAGCACUUUCAGCGAGGAGGAAGGUGGUGAGCUUAAUACGCUCAUCAAUUGACGUUACUCGCAGAAGAAGCACCGGCUAACUCCGUGCCAGCAGCCGCGGUAAUACGGAGGGUGCAAGCGUUAAUCGGAAUUACUGGGCGUAAAGCGCACGCAGGCGGUUUGUUAAGUCAGAUGUGAAAUCCCCGGGCUCAACCUGGGAACUGCAUUUGAAACUGGCAAGCUAGAGUCUCGUAGAGGGGGGUAGAAUUCCAGGUGUAGCGGUGAAAUGCGUAGAGAUCUGGAGGAAUACCGGUGGCGAAGGCGGCCCCCUGGACGAAGACUGACGCUCAGGUGCGAAAGCGUGGGGCAGCAAACAGGAUUAGAUACCCUGGUAGUCCAGCGCUGUAAACGAUGUCGAUUUGGAGGUUGUGCCCUUGAGGCGUGGCUUCCGGAGCUAACGCGUUAAAUCGACCGCCUGGGGAGUACGGCCGCAAGGUUAAAACUUAAAGGAAUUGAC
rnacentral:rRNA from 1 species